rnacentral:tRNA from 1 species
AAGGGAGACCUAAUUCAGGUAUGGGACGAAAAAAAGUAGUCGCUACCAAGAAUCAAUCCCAAAAGGUCGGAGCGAGGUAUGAGGCUUUCAAACUAGGUUCUGGGUUCAAACAAGACCUGAAUCAGGAACAAGGGCUAUUAGCUCAGGUGGUUAGAGCGCACCCCUGAUAAGGGUGAGGUCCCUGGUUCGAGUCCAGGAUGGCCCACCUGCACAGGUGGCAAAAACAAGAGAAGCGAGGAAUCAGCACCUUAUCUUAUCUAUAUAUAAGAGAGAAUGCUGGCUCUGAGUAAAGAGUCCAGAGGAACCUUGAAAACUGCAUAGAGCUAGGUGAAAAAGCCAAAAAAGAAGACCGCAA